CCUACGGGAGGCAGCAGUGGGGAAUAUUGGACAAUGGGGGGAACCCUGAUCCAGCCAUGCCGCGUGUGUGAAGAAGGCCCUCGGGUUGUAAAGCACUUUCAGUGAGGAAGAACGCCUGGUGGUUAAUACCCAUCAGGAAAGACAUCACUCACAGAAGAAGCACCGGCUAACUCCGUGCCAGCAGCCGCGGUAAUACGGAGGGUGCGAGCGUUAAUCGGAAUUACUGGGCGUAAAGCGCGCGUAGGUGGCUUGAUAAGCCGGUUGUGAAAGCCCCGGGCUCAACCUGGGAACGGCAUCCGGAACUGUCAAGCUAGAGUGCAGGAGAGGAAGGUAGAAUUCCCGGUGUAGCGGUGAAAUGCGUAGAGAUCGGGAGGAAUACCAGUGGCGAAGGCGGCCUUCUGGACUGACACUGACACUGAGGUGCGAAAGCGUUGGUAGCAAACAGGAUUAGAUACCCUGGUAGUC
rnacentral:rRNA from 1 species